AUUGAACGCUAGCGGGGUGCUUAACACAUGCAAGUCGAACGAGUGGCGGACGGGUGAGCAAUAUAUCUGAACGUGCCCAGUCGAGGGGGAUAAGUACUAGAAAGAGUGGCUAAAACCGCAUACUAUUGGCUCGGCCGAUAUCGGAUUAGCUAGUUGGGGGGGUAAAGGCUCACCAGGGCAACGAUCCGUAGCUGGUUUGAGAGGACGACCAGCCACACUGGGACUGGGACACGGCCCAGACUCCUACGGGAGGCAGCAGUGGGGAAUUUUGGACAAUGGUGGAAAGCCUGAUCCAGCCAUCCCGCGUGUAUGAGAAGGCCUUCGGGUUGUAAAGCACUGUUGGCAGAGAAGCGGUAUCUGCAGAAUAAGCACCGGCUAACUACGUGCCAGCAGCCGCGGUAAUAC
rnacentral:rRNA from 1 species